UAUACUCGGUCAAAUUUCCACAUCAUCACGAAGUCCGCCGGCGGUCUUUCUCUUGUUUAGAUUUUUUUUUUUUUUACUCAGCCCCAAACGCUCGGCUCCAAGGUUCUGAGACCGUCGGCGGGGGCAUGGAACAACAUUACAUCAAUAGUACCAGCGUAUACCAGCCACCAAAGAUUAGGCAGGGACGACGUAAAAAGAAAAACCGGAAAUAAAACGCUGUAUACGUACAGUUAUCGCGCAAGCAUUCGACCGACGACGACGACGACGGCCAUUUGAUUAUCUUUGUUCGUUUUUGAAAUUUUAUUGGUGGGGGUUCGACCGUCAUACAGUUCUAAACAUUUAGUAAGUAAGUAACUGGCUACAACUGAAAAUCGUCGAGAGUCAAAAAAGUAAUUCCCGAUUUACUAUACGGCGGGUAAUGACGAAUAAAGCCAGACAAAGUUCUUACGGAGCUUACGCGCAGUAGUGUAAUACGUCGUACACGACAGGGUAGUGGAGAAAAUUCUCUCUUAUCUCGGGAAUCGAUCGUGAUUUAGCAUUCGGCGCGAGUCGAGGCUAUCAGUCAAAACAUCCACGACUUGCUCUGUCGCUGCAGCCGAAUCGUAUAUAGUAACUUCAAUCAAACAAUAAUACAAUUAAGUCCAGAAAGAAAAGAAAAAGAUUUCAAAUGAAAAACCAAAUCGCAAGAAAACCGGUUCAAGUGGAAUUGUAGUUUCCUGACACGACAAACAACAACAAAAGUUACUAGGAAACGUCGAAACGACAACGAUAAUUGAUUCCGAUUUUUUCUACCUAACGACAAACUGUCAACUCGUCAAUCUAAUUCUACGCGUGUUUUGUUGUAGCUGGGCAUUUCUCGAACGCCGGAAUUACACGACACUCUCUCUCUCUCUCGAGUGGUAGUACCGAAAUUUAUGAAUUUCCACAGCCGUGACGGAACGUGCUUUACCUGAAUAGGAAUAACUAUAAAAUCAAUCAAUCAAUUCUAUAUGUAGAAAUACGAUUGAAUAUGUUGAAAUCAAUAAUACGAGUCGCUCAACGAAUUACUAACAGAUUCCGAUUACGUUUAGCGUCAAAUAAAACAAAAAAUAAUUAGGGCGUCUGCGCGUGAAGAAUCGUCAGAGCAUAAAGAAAACGAUCGUUGCACACAAUUCCACGCCAUAAAU